rnacentral:rRNA from 1 species
AGUAACACGUGAGCGAACCUGCCUCUCAGAGUGGAAUAACAGUUGGAAACGGCGUGCUAAUACCACAUAACGUUUUUGUGCCGCAUGACACUUCAACCAAAGAUUUAUCGCUGAGAGAUGGGCUCGCGUCCGAUUAGGUAGAUGGUGGGGUAACGGCCUACCAUGCCGACGAUCGGUAGCCGGCCUGAGAGGGCGGACGGCCACAUUGGGACUGAGACACGGCCCAGACUCCUACGGGAGGCAGCAGUGGGGGAUAUUGCACAAUGGGGGGAACCCUGAUGCAGCGACGCCGCGUGGGUGAAGAAGUAUUUCGGUAUGUAAAGCCCUAUCAGCAGGGACGAUAAUGACGGUACCUGAGUAAGAAGCCCCGGCUAACUACGUGCCAGCCGCCGC